UCCCUGGCGGUUUAGUGGUUAGGACUCCGCACUUUGACUGCGGGGGCCCCGGGUUCGAUCCCUGGUCAGGGAA